AGUAAUACAUCGGAACGUGCCCAGUAGUGGGGGAUAACCCGGCGAAAGCCGGACUAAUACCGCAUACGACCUAUGGGUGAAAGCAGGGGAUCGCAAGACCUUGCGCUAUCGGAGCGGCCGAUGUCAGAUUAGCUUGUUGGUGGGGUAAAAGCCCACCAAGGCGACGAUCUGUAGCUGGUCUGAGAGGACGACCAGCCACACUGGGACUGAGACACGGCCCAG
rnacentral:rRNA from 1 species